rnacentral:rRNA from 1 species
UACGAAGGGGGCUAGCGUUGCUCGGAAUCACUGGGCGUAAAGCGCACGUAGGCGGAUCUUUAAGUCAGGGGUGAAAUCCUGGAGCUCAACUCCAGAACUGCCUCUGAUACUGGGGAUCUUGAGUCCGGAAGAGGUAAGUGGAACUGCGAGUGUAGAGGUGAAAUUCGUAGGUAUUCGCAAGAGCACCAGUGGCGAAGGCGGCUUACUGGUCCGGUACUGACGCUGAGGUGCGAAAGCGUGGGGAGCAAACAGG